GCUUAAUGGGCGCAAGCCUGAAGCAGCAACGCCGCGUGUGCGAUGAAGGCCUUCGGGUGUAAAGCACUUUUCAUCGGGAAGAGGAAGGACGGUACCGGUGGAAUAAGCCUCGGCUAACUACGUGCCAGCAGCCGCGGUAAAACGUAGGAGGCGAGCGUUAUCCGGAUUUACUGGGUGUAAAGCGCGUGCAGGCGGUCUGUUAAGUUGGAUGUGAAAGCUCCCGGCUCAACUGGGAGAGGUCGUUCAAAACUGGCAGACUGGAGAGCAGUAGGGGAAGGUGGAAUUCCGGGUGUAGUGGUGAAAUGCGUAGAUAUCCGGAGGAACACCAGUGGCGAAAGCGGCCUUCUGGACUGCAUCUGACGCUCAGACGCGAAAGCUAGGGGAGCAAACGGGAUUAGAGACCCCGGUAGUCCUAGCUGUAAACGAUGUGAACUUGGCGCUGGAGGGGUAAAACCAUUCAGUGCCGAAGCAAACGCGAUAAGUUCACCACCUGGGGACUACGGCCGCAAGGUUA
rnacentral:rRNA from 1 species